UGAAGGUGAUGCUGCACUGCCUUGUAGAGUUAAGUGUCACAGCUGAGAAGUAUGCGCCAUUCCAAUUCCCGAACCUUUGUGUGUGAAUUGCCUGUUUCCUCGGGAGUUUUGCUUCUAGGGAUUUCUCUUUGUCUCCGAACCACAGUGAUCAACUGAGCAGUAUAUCUCAUUGCAUUUGCAAGCUGGAUGCUCUCUCAUGGGCCUUAGAGAUAAUGCAACUCUUCAUUUUACAGAUGAAGAAAUGUUGCCCAGAGAUACCAACAUCUCCUAUCAAGUACACCUUCCACGAUAUCUUCUAAGGGCCAAUUUGAUUCCCAACUUCUCCAUGAAGAUGUCCCCUGCCAAUCUAACACAGUGACUUUCUUCCUGCAAAAUCGUAAAACAAACCACACAUUGAGCAAAAUCUUGUUUCUCUCCCACAGCACUAUCACUGUUGUGCAUAUCCAACAAGAUAUUUUUUGAAAAGAGAAUGUAUAUUAGACCUAGGUGUUGCUCUCAAGGAGCUUGUAGUCCAGCAGAGAAAAUAAUUAUAAUACAGACACAAAUAGUAAAAUAAAUAAAGAAUGCAAAGAUAAACUACUGUUCUU